rfam:Methylobacterium sp. Leaf104 contig_14, whole genome shotgun sequence.
GGGGCCUUAGCUCAGCUGGGAGAGCGCUUCCAUGGCAUGGAAGAGGUCAUCGGUUCGAUCCCGUUAGGCUCCA